UACGUAGGGGGCUAGCGUUGUCCGGAAUCAUUGGGCGUAAAGAGCGUGUAGGCGGCUCGGUAAGUCCGCUGUGAAAGUCCAGGGCUCAACCCUGGAAUGCCAGUGGAAACUGUCGAGCUAGAGUCCGGAAGAGGCGAGUGGAAUUCCUGGUGUAGCGGUGAAAUGCGCAGAUAUCAGGAGGAACACCAAUGGCGAAGGCAGCUCGCUGGGACGGUACUGA
rnacentral:rRNA from 1 species